rnacentral:rRNA from 1 species
GCAGCCGCGGUAAUACGUAGGGGGCAAGCGUUAUCCGGAUUUACUGGGUGUAAAGGGAGCGCAGACGGCAGUGCAAGUCUGAUGUGAAAGCCCGGGGCUCAACCCCGGAACUGCAUUGGAAACUGUACAGCUUGAGUGUCGGAGAGGUAAGCGGAAUUCCUAGUGUAGCGGUGAAAUGCGUAGAUAUUAGGAGGAACACCGGUGGCGAAGGCGGCUUACUGGACGAUUACUGACGUUGAGGCUCGAAAGCGUGGGGAGCAAACAGGAUUAGAUACCCC